UACGUAGGCAGCGAGCGUUGUUCGGAGUUACUGGGCGUAAAGGGUGUGUAGGCGGUUCUUUAAGUUUGGUGUGAAAUCUCCCGGCUCAACCGGGAGGGUGCGCCGAAUACUGAGGGACUUGGAGUGCGGGAGAGGAAAGUGGAAUUCUUGGUGUAGCGGUGAAAUGCGUAGAUAUCAGGAGGAACACCGGUGGUGUAGACGGCUUUCUGGACCGUAACUGACGCUGAGACACGAAAGCGUGGGUAGCAAACAGG
rnacentral:rRNA from 1 species